GAUGACGGGUAGCCGGUCUGAGAGGACGAUCGGUCACAUUGGGACUGAGACACUGCCCAGACUCCUACGGGAGGCUGCAGUCGAGAAUCUUCCGCAAUGGGCGCAAGCCUGACGGAGCGACACCGCGUGCAGGAUGAAGGCCUUCGGGUUGUAAACUGCUGUCACGCUAUAGGAAACCCAUCUUCGGAUGUCUGACCAAAGCGAAAGGAAGCACCGGCUAACUCCGUGCCAGCAGCCGCGGUAAGACGGAGGGUGCAAACGUUGUUCGGAAUUACUGGGCAUAAAGCGCACGUAGGCGGCCAGGUCAGUCCGUUGUGAAAGCCCCCGGCUCAACCGGGGAACUGCAGGGGAUACUGCCUGGCUCGAGGACGGUUGGGGUGAGUGGAACUCCUGGUGGAGCGGUGAAAUGCGUAGAUAUCAGGAGGAACACCAGUGGCGAAAGCGGCUCACUGGACCGUAUCUGACGCUGAGGUGCGAAAGCUAGGGUAGCGAACGGGAUUAGAUACCCCGGUAGUCCUAGCCGUAAACGAUGGGCACUAGGUAGGGGGGAUGCCUAUGGUCUUCCCUGCCGUAGCAAAUGU
rnacentral:rRNA from 1 species